rnacentral:rRNA from 1 species
GGUCCCGCCUGCCCCGUGACCAUCAGUUCAACGGCCGCGGUAUUUUAACCGUGCGAAGGUAGCGCAAUCACUUGUCCUUUAAAUGGAGACCAGUAUGAAUGGCAAAACGAGGGCCAAGCUGUCUCCUCUUUUAAGUCAAUGAAAUUGAUUUCCCCGUGCAGAAGCGGGGAUGCGAACAUAAGACGAGAAGACCCCGUGGAGCUUCAGACAUCAAGACAACUCAUGUUAAAGACCCCUAAACAAAGGACGAAACUUAGUGAAGCCUUGAUUUAAUGUCUUUGGUUGGGGCGACCACGGGGAGAGAAAAAACCCCCACGUGGAGCAGGAAUACUACUUACCCUACAACUAAGAGCAACAGCUCUAAGCAACAGAACAUCUGACCUCAAGAUCCGGCUUCUAUUUGCCGAUUAACGAACCGAGUUACCCCAGGGAUAACAGCGCAAUCCCCUUUCAGAGCCCAUAUCGACAAGGGGGCUUACGACCUCGAUGUUGGAUCAGGACAUCCUAAUGGUGCAACCGCUAUUAAGGGUUCGUUUGUUCAACGAUUAAAGUCCUACGUGAUC